UUACUUUUCGAGUUUCGAGUCGGUCAAUCUCUUUUCUUUCUGUUAACAAAUUACUUAUUAUUCUAUUCAAUUAACUAACUUUUCAAAUCCUCAUUAUUUCCAAUUGAGAUUUGAAUGAUGAUUUCUUUGGAGUUACGCUGAUUGAAUUUCUCUGAUUACAAAUUAGAAAAAUAACCUCUAACAACUCAUUCAACAAUAUUUCAACUCAACAUCAUUGUUAUGGAUUCAGGUUUUGUGAAGACAUGAAUAAAUGAUAAUUGAACUAAGUUCAAUUCAUUGUUCAAUUUAUUGAUCAGAAACUGAUCCACUCAUAACAGAACUUGAACAUGAAAAGUCUGCCAGUAAGAUCAAUAUUUUUACAUCACAUCUAUCCACCAUAGCUGCUAUUUUAAUUUGGCUAGUCAGGAUCAUAUUAUAAACACGCCGCUUUCAUCCUGGGUAUGCACUAGUUGACACAAAGCUGGAGGCCGGACGGGGUUCCAAGACUCCGUUUCUAACGAGUUGUGGAAAAUAUCAACACUUCAGAAGAUUUCGGCAAGUCAGCAUCUGCAUUAUGUAUACAAUCAUACACCACAUUCAUCUUGUGUGUGCACUACUUGACACCAAGUGGGCGCUGGAGCUUCAAGACUUCGAUUCCAAUCAACUACAUAGUUGCGGACAAAUCAACACUUCGGAAGCUGAACGCUCAUGGAUUGAGAAGAUGGAUCACCAGCCAAUCAAGACAUCUACAUUAUCAAUGGUACUCAGUAUAUUUUCACAAUUCAUCGAAUCAUAGUGGAAUAGAAUCAGAUAAGUUAAAUGUAAAACAGGCCUUAGUUCAAUGAAUCAUCAUAAGUUGACCUAUGACCAGUAUCUAUUCUCAAUUGGAAAAUUGGAGAUUCUCAAUUCGAAAAUAAAGUGAUAUAAACUGUAUGAACCUAAUUCGAAUUACUUAAGUUCACUGAAUGAUAGAAACACCAUUAAGUUGAUAAUAAUGUGACCAAAACAAUCCAGAUGAUUGGAUUAAUAAAUGGAUAGAAAUUGCUGCAGUAAAUAAUAAUAAGGUUCCAAUUCCAGUCAUAAUUAGGUACUAAUUCUAGAAAAUAUUUUAGUAAAUAAUAAUGAGAUACUAGUUUUAGUCUCCAAAGUUUUCCACGAACAAAUACUUACACUUACUGAUUUUUUAUUGGACUAAGAUCUAUUUUGUUGUACUAGCAGAACAUGAAGUAAUGAACUAGCGUUAACUUAUAUAAGGUUCCUUGCAUUCCACUGUACAUACAUGAAUUAUAAAUAUGAAGAAAAUAAAAAUCUCAGUACCCUUUUUUUAAAAUAUUUUAUCACAACAUGUUUCGGUCAUUUUUAUGUCAUUUAUACAUGACUUAUAUUUAUUUAUUAUGAAGUUUCCUUAAAAACAAUUUUAAUUCUUAAGUAAAUAUUCUUUUAGUAUAGCAUUUUUAGAAAACUCACUGAAAGGAAGAAUACUUGUAUUUACAGUGAAAUGCAAGGCUUCAUCACUAUAAAGUAAUUUUAACUCAGCACUCACUUGAGUACUUUAUGUAAUGUUUAUUUAGACAAUUCUAGGUUCUAGAUCAGUGUUUUUGAACCUAUUUAAUACGGCACACUACUGUUAUGCAAAACGUCUGACUAAAGUUGUAUUGGAAAAAGAUCAAAAGAGAUUAUUCAUAAAAUGCAAAACCAAGAUACACAGAUCCUUCAUGUUACAACAGGAUAAUAAUUUCUUUACUAAUCCAUUCAAUACUCAGCAUAUCUUAUAAUGCUCUAAAAAUAUCCAAUCACUGA
rnacentral:misc_RNA from 1 species